rnacentral:rRNA from 1 species
GGCCAGACUCCUACGGGAGGCAGCAGUCGGGAAUAUUGCGCAAUGGAGGAAACUCUGACGCAGUGACGCCGCGUAUAGGAAGAAGGUUUUCGGAUUGUAAACUAUUGUCGUGAGGGAAGAAAUUGACAGUACCUCAGGAGGAAGCUCCGGCUAACUAUGUGCCAGCAGCCGCGGUAAUACAUAGGGAGCAAGCGUUAUCCGGAUUUAUUGGGUGUAAAGGGUGCGUAGACGGGAAAUUAAGUUAGUUGUGAAAUCCCUCGGCUUAACUGAGGAACUGCAACUAAAACUGAUUUUCUUGAGUACUGGAGAGGAAAGUGGAACUCCAUGUGUAGCGGUGGAAUGCGUAGAUAUAUGGAAGAACACCAGUGGCGAAGGCGGCUGUCUGGUCUGCAACUGACGCUGAGGCUCGAAAGCAUGGGUAGCGAACAGGAUUAGAUACCCGUGUA